UUUCGCAAUGCCCGAAAGGGUGACGAAGCGACGCCGCGUGGGUGAGGAAGGCCUUCGGGUUGUAAAGUCCUGUCAGGAGUUAAGAAAUGUAAGUGCGCUAAUACCGCAUUUAUUUGACGAAGGCUCCAAAGGAAGUCACGGCUAACUCUGUGCCAGCAGCCGCGGUAAUACAGAGGUGGCAAGCGUUGUUCGGAAUUAUUGGGCGUAAAGAGCACGUAGGUGGGUUUGUAAGUCAGAUGUGAAAGCCUCCUGUUCAACGGGAGAAUUGCAUCUGAAACUACAGAUCUUGAGUGUAGGAGGGGAGAAUGGAACUUCUGGUGGAGCGGUGAAAUGCGUAGAUAUCAGAAGGAACGCCGGCGGCGAAAGCGAUUCUCUGGCCUAUUACUGACACUCAGUGUGCGAAAGCUAGGGUAGCAAACGGGAUUAGGUACCCCGGUAGUCCUAGCCGUAAACGAUGGGCACUAAGUAGAGGGGUUUUA
rnacentral:rRNA from 1 species